rnacentral:rRNA from 1 species
CCUACGGGAGGCACCAGUGGGGAAUAUUGCACAAUGGGCGCAAGCCUGAUGCAGCCAUGCCGCGUGUAUGAAGAAGGCCUUCGGGUUGUAAAGUACUUUCAGCGGGGAGGAAGGUGUUGUGGUUAAUAACCACAGCAAUUGACGUUACCCGCAGAAGAAGCACCGGCUAACUCCGUGCCAGCAGCCGCGGUAAUACGGAGGGUGCAAGCGUUAAUCGGAAUUACUGGGCGUAAAGCGCACGCAGGCGGUCUGUCAAGUCGGAUGUGAAAUCCCCGGGCUCAACCUGGGAACUGCAUUCGAAACUGGCAGGCUAGAGUCUUGUAGAGGGGGGUAGAAUUCCAGGUGUAGCGGUGAAAUGCGUAGAGAUCUGGAGGAAUACCGGUGGCGAAGGCGGCCCCCUGGACAAAGAUCGACGCUCAGGUGCGAAAGCGUGGGGAGCAAACAGGAUUAGAUACCCGUGUAGUC